rnacentral:sRNA from 13 species
CAAAAGCUCUAUUUUAAAGCGAGUUAUGCGCCUUUGAAGUUGGAGAUGAGAGAGCGAGAGACGGCAGAGAAAGAGACAGUCGUUUUCUCUGCCGUCUCUCACUCUCUCGCCUCCACCUUUGAAGGCGCGUAACUCGCUUCAAAAUAGAGCUUUUU